rnacentral:rRNA from 1 species
UACCUUAAGACAAAAAUAAUUUAAGGCAAGCCCUGCCCAGUGAAAUCUUCAACGGCCGCGGUAUCCUAACCGUGCAAAGGUAGCAUAAUAACUUGCCUAUUAAUUAUAGGAUAGAAUGAAAGGGUAAACGAAAUAGGAGCUGUCUCUAUUAGCCCAAUGAAAAUUAUUUUUUAACUGAAGAAAGUUAAAUUCAACUGAAGGACAAGAAGACCCUAUAGAGCUUAAUUUAACUUACUAAAUAAGUAAAAAUUAAAUUCGGUUGGGGCGACCGAUGCUCUACAAAUCAUCACCCACAAAAAGAAAUAUACAUCUCAAAAAAGACCCUGACCCAGAUCAAAAAAACAAGCUACCUUAGGGAUAACAGGCUAAUCUCAUUAAUGAGUCCCCAUCUAUAAUGUUGGUUGGCACCUCGAUGUUGGCUUAGGGAAUCAAAAGGGCGCAGAAGCUUUUUAAGACGGUUUGUUCAACCAUUAAACCCCUA